AGUGAACGCUGGCGGCAGGCCUAACACAUGCAAGUCGAGCGGCAGCGCGGGGGCAACCCUGGCGGCGAGCGGCGGACGGGUGAGGAAUUCGUCGGAAUCUGCCUUUUUGUGGGGGAGAACGUAGGGAAACUUACGCUAAUACCGCAUACGUCCUACGGGAGAAAGUGGGGGACCGCAAGGCCUCACGCAGAAAGAUGAGCCGACGACCGAUUAGCUAGUUGGUGGGGUAAAGGCCCACCAAGGCGACGAUCGGUAGCUGGUCUGAGAGGAUGAGCAGCCACACUGGGACUGAGACACGGCCCAGGCUCCUACGGGAGGCGGCAGUGGGGAAUAUGGGACAAUGGGCGCAAGCCUGAUCCAGCCAUGCCGCGUGUGUGAAGAAGGCCUUCGGGUUGUAAAGCACUUUUGUCCGGAAAGAAAUCCCUGGAGCUAAUACCUGCGGGGGAUGACGGUACCGGAAGAAUAAGCACCGGCUAACUUCGUG
rnacentral:rRNA from 1 species